UACGUAGGGCGCAAGCGUUGUCCGGAAUUAUUGGGCGUAAAGAGCUCGUAGGCGGUUUGUCGCGUCGGCUGUGAAAGCCCGGAGCUCAACUCCGGGUCCGCAGUCGAUACGGGCAGACUUGAGUGUUGCAGGGGAGACUGGAAUUCCUGGUGUAGCGGUGAAAUGCGCAGAUAUCAGGAGGAACACCGGUGGCGAAGGCGGGUCUCUGGGCAACAACUGACGCUGAGGAGCGAAAGCGUGGGGGAGCGAACAGG
rnacentral:rRNA from 1 species